rnacentral:rRNA from 1 species
CCCUUAGAUGUCCUGGGCCGCACGCGCGCUACACUGACAUGUUCAACAAGCCUCCUAGUUCGACAGGAUUUGGGAAAUCUUUGAACGCAUGUCGUGAUAGGGAUAGAUCAUUGCAAUUAUUGAUCUUGAACGAGGAAUUCCUAGUAAACGCGAGUCAUCAGCUCGCAUUGAUUACGUCCCUGCCCUUUGUACACACCGCCCGUCGCACCCACCGAUCGAAUGUUUCGGUGAAGAUUCCGGAUAGGACUUUUUUGAUUUAUUUCAAUUUUGUCUUAAAAGCUAUCUAAACCUCAACAUUUAGAGGAAGGUGAAGUCGUAACA